rnacentral:tRNA from 1 species
AAGAUAAGAAAUCAAGAAUAAGCUUCUAACUUAAUUCUUAAGCAAUGAAAUUUGUUUUUAUCUUU